rnacentral:rRNA from 1 species
UCUAGCGAGACUGCCGGUAAUAACCGGAGGAAGGUGGGGAUGACGUCAAUCAUCAUGCCCCUUAUGACCUGGGCUACACACGUGCUACAAUGGUUGGUACAACGAGUUGCGAGUCGGUGACGGCGAGCUAAUCUCUUAAAGCCAAUCUCAGUUCGGAUUGUAGGCUGCAACUCGCCUGCAUGAAGCCGGAAUCGCUAGUAAUCGCGGAUCAGCAUGCCGCGGUGAAUACGUUCCCGGGCCUU